UACGUAGGGUGCGAGCGUUAAUCGGAAUUACUGGGCGUAAAGCGUGCGCAGGCGGUGAUGUAAGACAGGUGUGAAAUCCCCGGGCUUAACCUGGGAACUGCAUUUGUGACUGCAUAGCUAGAGUACGGUAGAGGGGGAUGGAAUUCCGCGUGUAGCAGUGAAAUGCGUAGAUAUGCGGAGGAACACCGAUGGCGAAGGCAAUCCCCCUGGACCUGUACUGACGCUCAUGCACGAAAGCGUGGGGGAGCAAACAGG
rnacentral:rRNA from 1 species